AGUCCUUUGACGGUAUCCAACCAGAAAGCCACGGCUAACUACGUGCCAGCAGCCGCGGUAAUACGUAGGUGGCAAGCGUUGUCCGGAUUUAUUGGGCGUAAAGCGAGCGCAGGCGGUUUUUUAAGUCUGAUGUGAAAGCCUUUCGGCUUAACCGAAGAAGUGCAUUAGAAACUGGGAAACUUGAGUGCAGAAGAGGACAGUGGAACUCCAUGUGUAGCGGUGAAAUGCGUAGAUAUAUGGAAGAACACCAGUGGCGAAGGCGGCUGUCUGGUCUGUAACUGACGCUGAGGCUCGAAAGUAUGGGGAGCGAACAGGAUUAGAUACCCUGGUAGUCCAUACCGUAAACGAUGAAUGCUAAGUGUUGGAGGGUUUCCGCCCUUCAGUGCUGCAGCUAACGCAUUAAGCAUUCCGCCUGGGGAGUACGACCGCAAGGUUGAAACUCAAAGGAAUUGACGGGGGCCCGCACAAGCGGUGGAGCAUGUGGUUUAAUUCGAAGCAACGCGAAGAACCUUACCAGGUCUUGACAUCCUUUGACCACUGUAGAGAUACAGCUUUCCCUUCGGGGACA
rnacentral:rRNA from 16 species